rnacentral:piRNA from 1 species
UAGGGUCUUAUGGUUGCAUUCAUAUCUUG